rnacentral:tRNA from 1 species
GGAGUUGUGGCUCAGUGGUAGAGUGUUCAUCCAGAUUGUGUGAGGCCCUGGGUUCGAUCCUCAGCACCA